CUGCGAAUGGCUCAUUAAAUCAGUUAUCGUUUAUUUGAUAGUACCUUACUACUUGGAUAACCGUGGUAAUUCUAGAGCUAAUACAUGCUAAAAACCCCAACUUCGGGAGGGGUGUAUUUAUUAGAUAAAAAACCAAUGCCCUUCGGGGCUCUUUGGUGAUUCAUGAUAACUUAACGGAUCGCAUGGCCUUGCGCCGGCGACGGUUCAUUCAAAUUUCUGCCCUAUCAACUUUCGAUGGUAAGGUAUUGGCUUACCAUGGUUUCAACGGGUAACGGGGAAUUAGGGUUCGAUUCCGGAGAGGGAGCCUGAGAAACGGCUACCACAUCCAAGGAAGGCAGCAGGCGCGCAAAUUACCCAAUCCCGACUCGGGGAGGUAGUGACAAUAAAUACUGAUACAGGGCUCUUUUGGGUCUUGUAAUCGGAAUGAGUACAAUUUAAACCCCUUAACGAGGAACAAUUGGAGGGCAAGUCUGGUGCCAGCAGCCGCGGUAAUUCCAGCUCCAAUAGCGUAUAUUAAAGUUGUUGCAGUUAAAAAGCUCGUAGUUGAACCUUGGGCCUGGCUGGCCGGUCCGCCUCACCGCGUGUACUGGUCCGGCCGGGCCUUUCCUUCUGGAGAGCCGCAUGCCCUUCACUGGGUGUGUCGGGGACCGGACUUUUACUUUGAAAAA
rnacentral:rRNA from 1 species